GAAAUGCGAUAAGUAGUGUGAAUUGCAGAAUUCAGUGAAUCAUCGAAUCUUUGAACGCACAUUGCGCCCUUUGGUAUUCCUUAGGGCAUGCCUGUUCGAGCGUCAUCUAAACCUUAAAGCCCUGCUUGGUGUUGGGUGCCUGUCCCGCCUCCGCGCGCGGACUCACCUCAAAUCCAUUGGCGGCCCCCGCGUCGGCCACGAGCGCAGCAGAAACGCGAACUCGUGAGCCCGUCCGGGCGGCUCCCAGAAGCUACACCCACCCAGUUUGACCUCGGAUCAGGUAGGGAUACCCGCUGAACUUAAGC
rnacentral:misc_RNA from 1 species